AUUGAACGCUGGCGGCAUGCUUUACACAUGCAAGUCGAACGGCAGCGCGGGUUUCGGCCUGGCGGCGAGUGGCGAACGGGUGAGUAAUACAUCGGAACGUGCCCAGUAGUGGGGGAUAGCUCGGCGAAAGCCGGAUUAAUACCACAUACGACCUGAGGGUGAAAGCGGGGGAUCUUCGGACCUCGCGCUAUUGGAGCGGCCGAUGGCAGAUUAGCUAGUUGGUGGGGUAAAGGCCUACCAAGGCGACGAUCUGUAGCUGGUCUGAGAGGACGACCAGCCACACUGGGACUGAGACACGGCCCAGACUCCUACGGGAGGCAGCAGUGGGGAAUUUUGGACAAUGGGCGAAAGCCUGAUCCAGCAAUGCCGCGUGUGUGAUGAAGGCCUUCGGGUUGUAAAGCACUUUUGGCGGGAACGAAAAGGACUGUGCCAAUACCACGGUUCGAUGACGGUACCCGCAGAAUAAGCACCGGCUAACUACGUG
rnacentral:rRNA from 1 species